AGUCUUUGGUUCAUGAGCGUGAUGACUGUGCGUGCUGCAUGCAUGAGAUGUGCCUCUCUCAAACCUUGUUAAGACGUCAGCUCAACUGACA
rnacentral:snoRNA from 1 species